rnacentral:rRNA from 1 species
UACGUAGGUGACAAGCGUUGUCCGGAUUUACUGGGCGUAAAGAGCGCGCAGGCGGUCGUUCAAGUCGAGUGUGAAAGCCCCGGCUCAACUGGGGAGGGUCAUUCGAUACUGAUCGACUCGAAGGCAGGAGAGGGUAGUGGAAUUCCCGGUGUAGUGGUGAAAUGCGCAGAUAUCAGGAGGAACACCGGUGGCGAAGGCGGAUCUCUGGGCCUUACCUGACGCUGAGGCGCGAAAGCUAGGGAGCAAACAGG